GGUGACGGGGAACCCAUUUCCGGUCGUACCGCGCCACUUUUCAAAACGGGCAUUAUUUGUUUUGGAGACUGUGCGCUUACUGUAAAUAUGCCAGUUAAGAGGGCCCUGCGUUUGGAAGAAAAGGAAAAUAUAACGCCAUCUAAGAGACCAGCACUAGACAGGACCUAUUCCCCAUUGACUGGUACCUGCUCCAUUCACCACACUCAUACUCCUCCAGCUAAUUCAAAUUUGAGGGAAAAUGCUGGCAGUCCAACGGUACAGGAACCUCAGACAGAUAAAGAAAAAUUUCAUGCCUUGCGGUCUAAAAUUGAAGCGUCAGUAAAUGCAUUUUUAAAGGCCAGGCAGCAGAUUGAAAAAAUAUUGUCUACAGAGGGCGGUAGUGAGCUGAGCGGGUUCUUCAGGGGAGGCUCUUCGGAUCUGCAGGCCGAACUGUGCAAAAACAGGGAGCUCUGUGCCCUGGUGGAAGCUCGCCUCGACGGGAUCGACUUGGACCGCCACCGCAGAGACGGUCCCGGAAGGCCGUCAAGCUCCUACGAAUUCCUAAAAUCAAUCCUGAACUGAGGAGUAAUUCUGCGCCCUCUGAUUUUGAUAAUUAGUUUGCACUGGAGCUGAAGCAGAGCAGUUACAGGCCUAGUGCCAGGUGCCAUGGGGAUGCCCAGUCCUGCUGGAGCGUAGGGUGUCCUGCUGGAGCGUAGGGUGUCUUGCAGCAGCACUCUCUGCUUGCUAAGCUUCCGGAAGGUUCUCCCGCCACGUGGCAAAUGUGGAAUCCGGGUGUGAGAUACACAGACCCUGCCGAUCGUGCCGCUUGGAGGCAGCACCUUUGUGACCCACGAGGGAGGAGGGACCGAUGGCUCUCCCGGCCUGUCUGCAGAAGCCACCAGGCCCUUCUCCGGAACAGCUCUGCAGCACCCAGGACCACACCCAGCCAUGCUCGGGCUCCUCUGGGCUCCAGGCAAUGUCACCUCCCCCCCCCCAACCCCGAUUCCACCAUUUCUAGUUGAAAUAGAUUUUUUUUUUAAUGCCCAUCAUUAACUUCCAGAAAGAAGCAUAAGAUUGGUGUGGUAUUUCAGUUUUAUGACACCGUGUCUGCCGCUGUCCUGCUAGCACACACCCCCUGCGUGGAUGCUUCUGUAUUUACCGCUCGUAAUGAAUAUUUUAUGAUAAUAAAUGGCUUUAAGAUAUUAA